rnacentral:rRNA from 1 species
UACAGAGGGGGCAAGCGUUGUUCGGAAUUACUGGGCGUAAAGGGCGCGUAGGCGGCCUGUUAAGUCGAACGUGAAAUCCCCGGGCUCAACCCGGGAACUGCGUCCGAUACUGGCAGGCUUGAAUUCGGGAGAGGGAUGCAGAAUUCCAGGUGUAGCGGUGAAAUGCGUAGAUAUACGGAGGAACACCAGCGGCGAAGGCGGGUAGCUGGGCCAACACUGACGCUGAUGCGCGAAAGCUAGGGUAGCAAACGGG